ACGGCAGGUAGAGUAUACUGUGGAUACACUAGACAAAGGGAUGAUUUAUAUCCUGGGCAGAAUGGAGUAGGACAGUGAAAGAUUUCGCCAACAUAUUCAGAAUAGCAUGCAAUUUAAAACUUAUUUUGAAGUUGGAAGAAGUGGCAAAAUGUGAAAAGCAAGAAGCAAGUAUUACCAGAGACACCUAUGAAAAAGAAAUCUUUCUGAAGAACAUUUUUAAAGUGCCAUAAUCUGUUCGGUGAAUCCAAAGGCUGAAAGAGACUGAGUAACAGCUAUUAAGUAAGGUGAAAAUGUUAUUUUACAUGGAAACCUAUUUUGUUCCAUAAAACUAAAUAAACCAUAACCCAGAAGUGCAAUGAGACACACACAGCAUGACCACAUUAUUUCUGAAAGCUGAAGAGUUGCCAGUCUGUUGAUCUCAAACUUCAUGAACCACACAGUUCAGUUCAAAUUGUUUCCCUGAAAUUGCUUUGAGCCUCUGCCAAACAGCCACUGAAGGACUCCGAAAAAUACAAGAACUGAAAGGGGCACAUGGCAGAUACAAUCAUAAACUUUCAUUUCGGAGAGCAGUAAAAAAGGAGAAGAAGAACACACUGGUACUCCAACAAGUCAUAGUUUCUGCCAGAUGUUGCAAAAGUGAGUUAGAUAACUGACCUUUCUUCUGGGGCCUGUGUCAACUUUGAAUGGAGCUUUCAAUUGUACAAUAAGCAUCUGGACAGUUUUGACAUCUUUAUAACACUCUUUGAGUUCUUAAAAAGCUACCAUUUUGUUUAAAGAUGAUUUAUGUGAAGAUUAAAACAAUUACUUAAGUGCUAAGAAUAAUUAAUCCUGUAACUCCAUAUCAAUACCAUUAUCUUCCCAGAACUGGGUCUCUAACUACUAAUCAUAAUCAAGACACCAACUGUCAAAUCAAAUCAAAAUUAAAAUUUGAUUAAUUAUUUGAUGAUAUUAACAUUCAAAUCUAGUUCCUUCUUAGGCCUAAUUUUGUCCUUAUGUUUGCUUUGCACUGAAUUAUUGUGGUUUAAAUAGCCCAUUUUACAUGACAACUUUCAAACAAGAGCAUAAAUUCUCAUAAAAACAGGCUAAGGAAUUCAUAAUGAUAGCUCUUGGCCGCCACCUAAAGGUUUAUUUCUUGUUUUAUUUUACAUGAGACCUACUAUGCAUUCCUUUUAUAAUAAAAUUGUUGUCUUGUCAUCACA
ensembl:lncRNA novel transcript